rnacentral:rRNA from 1 species
UUUAUGGAGAGUUUGAUCCUGGCUCAGGAUGAACGCUGGCGGCGUGCCUAAUACAUGCAAGUCGAGCGAACGGAUGAGAAGCUUGCUUCUCUGAUGUUAGCGGCGGACGGGUGAGUAACACGUGGAUAACCUACCUAUAAGACUGGGAUAACUUCGGGAAACCGGAGCUAAUACCGGAUAAUAUUUUGAGCCGCAUGGUUCAAAAGUGAAAGACGGUCUUGCUGUCACUUAUAGAUGGAUCCGCACUGCAUUAGCUAGUUGGUAAGGUAACGGCUUACCAAGGCAACGAUGCAUAGCCGACCUGAGAGGGUGAUCGGCCACACUGGAACUGAGACACGGUCCAGACUCCUACGGGAGGCAGCAGUAGGGAAUCUUCCGCAAUGGGCGAAAGCCUGACGGAGCAACGCCGCGUGAGUGAUGAAGGUCUUCGGAUCGUAAAACUCUGUUAUUAGGGAAGAACAUAUGUGUAAGUAACUGUGCACAUCUUGA